GCUUGUCUCAAAGAUUAAGCCAUGCAUGUCUAAGUAUAAGCAAUUUGUACUGUGAAACUGCGAAUGGCUCAUUAAAUCAGUUAUAGUUUAUUUGAUCUUACCUUACUACUUGGAUAACCGUGGUAAUUCUAGAGCUAAUACAUGCAAAAAUGGGCGACUGUCGCAAGGCGGAAAGGAUGUAUUUAUUAGAUCCAACCAGCCCGGUUCGCCGGAGUCCCUGGUGAGUCAUAAUAACUGAGCGAAUCGCAUGGCCUUGUGCCGGCGAUGGUUCAUUCAAGUUUCUGCCCUAUCAGCUUUCGAUGGUAGGGUAUUGGCCUACCAUGGCGUUAACGGGUAACGGAGAAUUAGGGUUCGAUUCCGGAGAGGGAGCCUGAGAAACGGCUACCACAUCCAAGGAAGGCAGCAGG
rnacentral:rRNA from 1 species